rnacentral:sRNA from 1 species
CAGCUUGCGCAGGAGCUCCUCCUCCGUGGUGCCUGACGACAAGGAGUACGAAUGGUCGGAGCCAGUAUCAGGGAAGCCCUCUUCCCCUACCACCACCAACUGGGGGCCCAUAGGGCACUCGGCAGCCUCCAGCCCUGCGGUAGCAGCCUGUAACUCCGACGCGGCGGCCGCAGCGGCUGCGCCCUCUGCGGCUGCAAACUCCACUUGCACUGUAAGAUCGAUGGGCUUCACGUCUUCUCCAGUGGGAGUGAUGGGCGCCGGCGGCACGGAUUCCGGAGCCUGACUGCUGUCUACAGCGGCCUGAAGGGUGAGAAGCACGGCCGCGGAAGCAGACACCAGUGCAGAUUCUGGGAAAGCGAACUCCACGGAAGACUCAGAAACCAAGUUCUAAUUCAGUUGCCAUGAAAACUUAAGGUGAGGGGAUUGUCAAUCAGUGAAAAAUACGGAGGAAAACACUAACAGAAUAUGAUGAAGAAGCCAACACUUGGGCUGCUUGCAUUACAUUAACCGAGGUUUACCCGCAGCGAGGCUGCCU